rnacentral:rRNA from 1 species
UACGGAGGAUCCAAGCGUUAUCCGGAUUUAUUGGGUUUAAAGGGUGCGUAGGCGGUUUUAUAAGUUAGAGGUGAAAUCUCGGGGCUCAACUCCGAAAUUGCCUCUAAUACUGUAGGACUAGAGAGUAGUUGCGGUAGGCGGAAUGUAUGGUGUAGCGGUGAAAUGCGUAGAGAUCGGGAGGAACACCAGUGGCGAAGGCGGCCUACUGGGCUUUAACUGACGCUGAGGCACGAAAGCGUGGGUAGCAAACAGG